AUGAAGUAUCACGGUACUAGAUAUCAUAAGCAUUUAACUAACUAAUAAAAUAAACCAAGUAUCACGGUACUAGAUAUCAAUCCCCUCAACACAAGUCACUACUGUCAAAUCAUAGGCUGUUAUACUUACAUUCAAGACCGAGAAUUGAAGAAAAGCUAGCAUCGACAUUGAAGAGAAUUGGGAGCCAUAAAUCACAUCUAUCAACAAGAAUAACCAUGAAUAAGCAUCACCAAUCUUAAAAUUUCAGCAAUUAAAGAGGUAAGUAUGUGAUUAUAUUGCAUUCUCAGAAAUUAGGUAUAUAUAUGUAUAUGCGAAUAAAAUCAAUUGUGAUGUUGAUUACGGAUAAACUGUUGUGGUUGGGUUGUAUUGUGUUAAGGGAUCAUGUGUAGGUGAAAUGAAGCAAUAAGGGAAGAACAUAUGGGUUUAGACAAACCUAAACCUCUGUGAAUUCUGUCCCGAAAAUGGUUGCACACAAGAUGUUUGUUAAAAGUUCUCUUAAGGACUGUUAAGCUUAAAUCAUGAAAUUAAGUGAGGGUUGAGGUUAAGAACUCUUUAUACAUGUUAUACUAGGUGAAUUAAAUGAUUUAUGUAGGCCUAAAGUACUUGGAAAACUGUUUUGGAAUGAAUAACAUUUUCAUGCUCAAUCUAGAAAUUGUCUUAACAGAGCAGUUUGGUGGCUCUGUUAGACUGAUCUAAAAUGUCCGAAACAGAUGAGUUGUAUUUUUAAAAAAAAUGCUAUGAUAUACCCUUUAUAAAAUGUGAAAGUUUGGUUUCUAUUGAACAACUAGUGGACUGUUUUGGACCAAUUUGUGUUGUGCUCUGAAACUGAAAAAUUAAGUUCCGGGAUGAUGUAUGGUACUCUUAUGAGUUAUGAAUUGGAACUGAGGGAAGAAUCCGUUGUAACGAAAUCAUGACGGAUUUCCUAGUAAAACAUGUAAAAUGAACUAAUUAAAACUGUUUUUGGGGGCUGUUCUUGAGCCAAAAUUUAUGAGGGUAUAGAACUGAAAAAUUAAGUUUUGUAAUGGUGGGAUGUGCUCCUACGAGUUAUGGAAAUAAUCCAAUUGGAAUGAAUCAAAAAGGAGCUAAAACGAAUUUAUAGUGAAGAUUUUAGUAAAAUAUAUUAAAAACUGAAAAAUUGUGGACUGCUGACCCUAAGGACAAAUUCGGGGCUAGCUACUUUUUCCAGAAAAUUCUGGGCUUUUGCGGUAUUAUAGUACACUGAAUAAGCUUUCCAUAGACUCCAGAAUGAACUAAUUCCGACUUCGGAGCAACGAGUUAUGACCGAUCAAAGUAGUGGCGUUAAAUCUGUCUAACAAAUUCGGAGCAGUCCCCUUGCACGAAUUUUCUGGACUUCUCUGUUACGAAUUUGAAAAUGGUCAAAGAAUAAAAGUUGUAGCCCCGGAAGUUAGCUUCGCGUGGGCUUAAGAAUUGCUCAAAAAUGUUUUGAAACGAAAACGUUAUGACUGUUUUAGCGAGAGAGGGUACAGCUGGGAAGAAAUUGAAAACUGUUACGAACGUACACUUUUGACGCUCUGUUUGGGCUGUCUAACAAACCCGGAAUGGGGGUUUGAUAUUUUUUAAAAAUAUUCUCGUAUGAUACGAAAAACAUACCAAAAAUUGGUUGUGAUCCGAGCUACAAGCAAGAAGUUAAAAAUGCGCAAAGUAUGCUUCAAGCAACUGAGUAGCAGCAGGGCACUGCCCAGCCCGUGCUGCGCUGGUGCAGUCGCCUGGCAUGCUUUUCACGUGCUGUUUUGGUCGAUCUUAGUCGCUUGUUUUCAUGGUUAGAAAAUUUCUAUUAAUACUUGGAUAUACCGACUAAAACAUACCCAAAACUCGCAGCAAGUUGAUUAGAGAUUUAAGAAAUAAAAUUUAGCAAAGGAGCGUGCGUGUCAAGCCAUGGGCUGCCAACGCCGAGCCUGGCAGCCUUGGGCUACUCAGCUUAUCGUGUUUCCGCGACGUGUUUGGUUGGUUUUAGAACUAUUUGGCACAUAAUGAAGCACCAGUAUAGUAGUAUAAAUAUAGUAUAAAGACUAUAUAUGGCGCAAACUUAUUCAUGCGCAAGAAAAGCGAUAAAAGUAUUAUGUAAACAUUAAAUUACUUGAAUUGAGAAAUGAAAUAUAAAAGGGUUAUGUAUUAAAAUAAAAUACGCUAACCCAUUUAAACUAUAUUGAACAUCGAAAUUUGAAAGCGAAAGGUUUUAGAAAUUCAAAACGAAGACUAUGAACACAAAAUCACAUAAUGACAUGUAUGAAAAUAAAAUACAUGUGAAGCACGGAUGUAAUUUAUUCACGAGAAUAAAUGUUAAGCGAAGCUACUAACAAAGCGAGACAUUCGCGUACAUGGUGAUAUCAUGGUUUAGCACAUGGGCUAUUGCAAAAACAUAAAAAAUAAUGAUAUGAGCUAUGUUUACGAGAUAAAAACCAUCCAUAACCAUAUAGUUUAAAAUGGAUUAUAGAUGGUUUAUGCUCUCAAAUGUAAAUUAUUUAUAUACUAAAACCAUGAAAGAACCUUUUUGGGCACAAAAAAGGGUUAUAACAGACAACAGUUUCUAAAGAAACGUGGAAUGGUUUUAAGACAAGAACAAAAAGGAUUAUAGUUAAUGUAAAUAAAUUAGUUUACAUUGAGUAUGCGAAUCUAGUAUGUAGAACUAAUAUGUGCAUGUAUGUAUCCUCAAUUUAUGUAGGAUCAUCACAAAGCGGAUAAGUUAUAACAUUAAACAUCACUCAAGGCAAGUCUUCCAGUUUCUUUGUGGCUCUAUGAAUUGGUAAUUGUAUGAGUUCUUUAAGAAUAUGUUGAAUUACAUGGUACAUGCUAUAAACUGUGAAAGUCAAUAUAUGACUAAGCUGCUUGAGUUAUGGAACUCAAUGUAUAUGUAAUAUAUGAUAUGAGCAUAUACUGUUUAAAGUGAUGAUGCAUGAAUGCUAUAAAGGAUUAUGAGAUAUAUGUUGAGCAUGAAACUAUGUGUCUGCAAAAAUAUAAUUUUUGUAGGUAUGAUACACAACAUGACUUUUUGUUAUCCAGGUGGUAAAGAUAGAGGCCUGUGUGCAGGAAAGUUGUUUCCUUCAAGUAGGAAUUAUAUUACAUCGAAAUGACGGUUUUUGAUGUGUUAAUGAGAAUUGUGUAAAUCUUGAGUUAUUUGAUAAAUAAAGAAUGUUUCUGUUAAGAUUGAAGUGUAUUCUUGAAAUUACUUUAAGGAAAGUAAUGUAUUAUAGAAAUGAUACUAUAUAAGAAAGGAUAUGAGUUAAGAAAUGAGUUACAUACACUCAUAUAACUCUGAUGAACUAAAUCAUAAAACAAAUAUGAUUUUGAAAUAAAAGAUAAUCGUAAAGGUUGCGAUUCAGGGAAUGAAAGAAAGAAAGACGAGAAGAAAAGUUUUAAAUUAUUCCGCAUUUUUAACUAUUUUAACAUUGAAUAAUGUUUUAAAGCUAGAACAAGAUAAUAUUAACGCACAAGAUCGGGAAGGAAAAUAGUCCCGAUUUUGGGGUUGUUACAAAUAUAGUUUAAGAAAAAGAAAAUUCUAACCAUAUUAUUUUCAUAAAUUAAUUUGUAACUAUUAUUAAAAUAUGAGUGUAGUUAUGUUUCAAGUAUAAGUAUGAUUUUAUUAUUAGUAGGUAGUACAUAUAAUUUUAGAAGAAAAUUAUUUUCUUACUAAAAUCACCUUAUCAAAUAUUAAACUAUAUUAUUAUUAUAAUAUAUAUAUAUAGGUAUAAAAUAAUACAUUAACCAAUAUAUAGUUUGAUUCAAUUGUUAAAUUAAAAUUUAAUUAUUGAAAACAAAUUACUCUUUUCAAUAAUAUAUUUAUAAAAAAGACAAUAAAAACUAAACAACAUACAAUCAUAUAAUAGGGUGAUUUGGAAUAAAAAUAAGUAAUUUAAUUUUACAAUCAUACAAUCAUAAGAUCAUCUUAUCUAAUAUUAUUUUGUUGUAAUUAUUAUUAUUAUUAAAUUCAAAAUAUGAUUAUAUUACAAAUAUAAGUAAUUUUAGGAUAAGAACCCAUAGAACACAUACGAAAUAGUUUUUAUUAAAUUAGGACAAAUCAUUUAGAUAUGACUUGGAGCUAUAAUAAUAAAAGAACAAAUUAUAGGAAUCAAUAAAACAAAUUUUCAAUGUUAUCCUCAAAUAAAUCCAUUCCUUCAUAGUGAUUGAAGAAAAAUCUAAAGAAAAUAACUUAGUGCGUUUGUGAGUUUAGAGAGAUGGGAUGCGAAGAGAAAGUAUAAGAGGGGAAGGAGUGGGAAAGGAUGGGAAGGAAUUAUAGUUUUCCCUUGUCAUGUUUGUGAGUUUUAGAAAUGAAAGGAAUUGAUGCGAUUUUAAUGAUAUUUUUUCUUGUUUGUGAGUUUAGAAAGAUGGAAGAGAGGGAAAAAUAUAUAUCCAAAACGACUUAAGUCCCUUUGUUUCGGCAAGGAGGGAGUAGAAUGGAUGUGUGUAUAGAUUUACUCGAUUAUAUUGAUAGUUCGUACAUGAGUUCGGUUAAAGAACUAACAGUUGAGUUACAACAAUUGCUACAGAACAUCCUCUCCUAACCAUAGCUGCAUUGCCAUGGAAACUAAUUUCUAAACUUGCUAGGUAAUAAAAUUACAAGAAAAUAGCUUCGCUUCAUGUGUAAAAGAAUUUUACUACAAAAAAAUUAAAAUGUGAAAAUACAAAAAAUGUUGUCUUUAAUAAGUGGGAGGGGAUCUGUGAUAGGCUAAGAUUGUUGAUGGGAAGAACAUUUGUCUGAUGGACUAAUAUUGUUUUGAUUCAGGGUUACCUGUUUCAAAGCUGUAAGCAUGGAUGAUUAUUCACAUCUGGAUGGGAUGGGACUAAUUUUGAGAAGAGAAUUGAGGGUUUAUUUUGAGAAUGAUAUGUACAAUAUUCACUUGUUUAUCUAUAUUGUUAUGAAUAAAUUUCCAGCGUCUUUGAUUAUAUUCCAACCCAAAUCUAGAGUUGCUUUAAUUUGGAGAAUACAAGUGCAAGUGUAAUAAAUGAUAUAAUCAAUUAAUCUCAAUAAUUGAUAAAAAUGGCUAUCCUUUGCAUAUGAAAAUAUAAAGAAGACAAUACCAUCAAUUAUUAUGUGUAUUGUAUUGUAGCUAGGUUUUCACCAUCCGAUGUUUAAGGUUUCCCAUCAAGGUUUAGCAUUUAUCCCAUACACGUGCAUGCAUGUAAUCAUUGGUGUUUGCAGUUCCCAAAUGUUGCAUCGUCUUUUGUGCUUAUAUAAGAGUGCUAUGAAUAGCAGAAAAAUAAAUGAUUCCACUCUGUUGGUGUAAAUUACUAAAAUUUUGAUGGGUUUUUUUCCCAGGAUGUUCAAAAUUUUGGCUUAUUUUUUUUUAUUGCUUUGCUAUAUUGAGAUAUCAGGUUGUUCCAAUUGACCCUCCUAAACCUGUACGUCUUUUUCUUAAAUGUUUCUAGGAAGAAAUUGUAUAUCUAUGUGUAAAUGUGUACUCUAAAUAUCUAAUACAGCAGUUGUAGUAAAUAUUUCAGAAAUGCAAGUUUCUUUGCAAGUUUCGUUAUAUAUUUCAGAAAUAUCUAAAUAUCUAAUUUCGUUAUAUAUUUCAGAAAUGCAAGUUUCUUUGCAGUUUAAGGAAGUCAAUUUUUUUAUUGAUGGAGCACAUGAUCGAUAAACAG
rnacentral:lncRNA from 1 species